rnacentral:misc_RNA from 1 species
GAUGAAGAACGUAGCGAAAUGCUAUAAGUAAUGUGAAUUGCAGAAUUCAGUGAAUCAUCGAAUCUUUGAACGCACAUUGCGCCCGCCAGUAUUCUGGCGGGCAUGCCUGUUCGAGCGUCAUUUCAACCAUCAAGCCCUGCUUGCGUUGGGGUCCUGCGGCUGCCCGCAGGCCCUGAAAACCAGUGGCGGGCUCGCUAGUCACACCGAGCGCAGUAAUACAUCUCGCUUUGGGCGUGCGGCGGGUUCUUGCCGUUAAACACCCCCUUUUUACCAAGGUUGACCUCGGAUCAGGUAGGAAUACCCGCUGAACUUAAGCAUAUCAAUAAGCGGAGGA